AACGAACGUUGGCGGCGUGGAUUAGGCAUGCAAGUCGAACGCGAAUCCCUGGGCAACUGGGGAGGAGAGUGGCGAAAGGGGCAGUAAGGCGUGGGUAACCUACCCUCCGGGCCGGGAUAGCUUCGGGAAACUGAAGGUAAUACCGGGCGACGCAGCGAGAUCGCAUGGUCUUGCUGCCAAAGGUCCGCCGCCGGGGGAGGGGCUCACGUGGUAUUAGCUAGACGGCGGGGUAACGGCCCACCGUGGCAAAGAUGCCUAGCAGGUGUGAGAGCACGACCUGCGCCACUGGCACUGAGACACUGGCCAGACACCUACGGGUGGCUGCAGUCGAGGAUCUUCGGCAAUGGGCGCAAGCCUGACCGAGCGACGCCGCGUGUGCGAUGAAGGCCUUCGGGUUGUAAUGCACUGUCGAGGGGGAGGAAGCCGCAAGGUUGACCUAUCCCUGGAGGAAGCACGGGCUAAGUUCGUG
rnacentral:rRNA from 1 species